rnacentral:rRNA from 1 species
CAGUCGCCACGGGAAUACGAAGGGGGCUAGCGUUGUUCGGAAUUACUGGGCGUAAAGCGCACGUAGGCGGACAUUUAAGUCAGGGGUGAAAUCCCGGGGCUCAACCCCGGAACUGCCUUUGAUACUGGGUGUCUAGAGUAUGGAAGAGGUGAGUGGAAUUCCGAGUGUAGAGGUGAAAUUCGUAGAUAUUCGGAGGAACACCAGUGGCGAAGGCGGCUCACUGGUCCAUUACUGACGCUGAGGUGCGAAAGCGUGGGGAGCAAACAGGAUUAGAUACCCGCGUAGUCCCUGUCUCUUAUAC